rnacentral:rRNA from 1 species
UACGUAGGGGGCAAGCGUUUGUCCGGAUUUAUUGGGCGUAAAGAGCGUGUAGGCGGCCAAGCAGGUCCGCUGUGAAAACUCGAGGCUCAACCUCGAGACGUCGGUGGAAACCGUUUGGCUAGAGUCCGGAAGAGGAGAGUGGAAUUCCUGGUGUAGCGGUGAAAUGCGCAGAUAUCAGGAAGAACACCCGUGGCGAAGGCGGCUUUCUGGGACGGUACUGACGCUGAGACGCGAAAGCGUGGGGAGCGAACAGG